rnacentral:misc_RNA from 1 species
UGGGCUUGACAUCUUGGGGAAGAUCUCCAGAAACGGGGGUCGCUCUUCGGAGUCCCAGGACAGGUGCUGCAUGGCUGUCGUCAGCUCGUGUCGUGAGAUGUUGGGUUAAGUCCCGCAACGAGCGCAACCCCCGCUCCCAGUUGCUAGCGAGUCAAGUCGAGGACUCUGGGAGGACUGCCGGUGCCAAACCGGAGGAAGGUGGGGAUGACGUGUCCUUGAUAGG